CCUACGGGAGGCAGCAGUGGGGAAUAUUGGGCAAUGGGCGCAAGCCUGACCCAGCAACGCCGCGUGAAGGAAGAAGGCUUUCGGGUUGUAAACUUCUUUUCUCAGGGACGAAGCAAGUGACGGUACCUGAGGAAUAAGCCACGGCUAACUACGUGCCAGCAGCCGCGGUAAUACGUAGGUGGCAAGCGUUAUCCGGAUUUACUGGGUGUAAAGGGCGUGUAGGCGGGGCUGCAAGUCAGAGGUGAAAACCACGGGCUCAACCUGUGGCCUGCCUUUGAAACUGUAGUUCUUGAGUGCUGGAGAGGAUGACGGAAUUCCAGGUGUAGCGGUGAAAUGCGUAGAUAUUAGGAGGAACACCAGUGGCGAAGGCGAUCUGCUGGAACGCAACUGACGCUGAGGCGCGAAAGCGUGGGGAGCAAACAGGAUUAGAUACCCCGGUAGUC
rnacentral:rRNA from 1 species